UAUGGCCAUAUAAUAUUGAAAUCACUGGUUCCCAUACAAUCACUGAAGUUAAACAAUAUUGAGCCUGGUUAGUACCUAGUUGGAUAACUGCUUGGGAAUACCAGGUGGUGUAAG